UGCAUGACCGUCUCUUCCUGC
rnacentral:miRNA from 2 species